CGCUAUUAUUAGAACAGUUUCUGUACUAUAUUG
rnacentral:misc_RNA from 1 species